rnacentral:rRNA from 1 species
UACGUAGGGUGCGAGCGUUAAUCGGAAUUACUGGGCGUAAGGCGUGCGCAGGCGGUUUUGUAAGCCAGAUGUGAAAUCCCUGGGCUCAACCCAGGAACUGCAUUUGAAACUCCCUUUCUUGAGUGUCGGAGAGGAAAGUGGAAUUCCUGGUGUAGAGGUGAAAUUCGCAGAUAUCAGGAGGAACACCGGUGGCGAAGGCGGCUUUCUGGACGACAACUGACGCUGAGACGCGAAAGCGUGGGGAGCAAACAGG